ACAAUGUCUUCCACUUCCCAGAUUUUGAGCUCACCCCAACUCUGGAGGAAAUCGCCGGGUACAUCGGAAAUGCUGAGGUUCCGAUUACCUGAGGGAGAAAACAUAUUGGUUCCCACUUUAAAGCAAUGGAAUCCACCUGAUAUUGACACGUCGAAGGAUUUCGACAUCGAGACUCCCUCGUCUAUGCUGGGUCGCUGUGAGAACGUGUCUCGAUAUGUUAGCGUCGUGACCGAUGUUAGCAAAGUGAAGGAGGACUGCCGAUGAGCAAGGCAGUGGAGGUAGAGAUUCCCGGCCCCAAUGAUAACAUUACCAACUUCAAGACUGGCUUCCUUUACAUAUACACUUACACAUUCACCCUCGGCCCUGAUAAAUUCAUUGAAUCUCCUCCCUUGGAAAUUGACCCGGUUAUUCUUGACUUCUGCGCCUGAUAUUAGGUGACCUUUGGUCAGAUCUACUCAUCCUUUUGGAGGAUAGUGUUAAUGCUUAGGCAUUUUACCGAAGGAAUUAAAAGUGAAGUUUUCACCCUUAACCAUUUGAUCAAACUGUACCGCCAUCGGCUAUAUCGAGGCUUAAUCAUGCUCUGCCACCGGUCCAAAAAGUCAUUUUUCACAAACAUUGAUGAGGGGAAGGACCGAGGAUGGAUGAGCUAGUUUAUCCGAGUGAGGACCUCGGAUAUCAUCCCGGCCCGGAGGAUGCCCUUUCCGGAGCAGUGGAAUGCUCGACCCACUGCUUGGCAUCCGAAGGUGGUUCCAGACAUGUCAGGAUGGAUCAGGCAUCUGGACGAGAAGUUCAUGUACCGCGUUUGGUCUUGGACCGUCAUGGAUAAGGAGCAUUGGGUUGCCAAGAGUCACGGUGAGGUUCCUUUACUUCCUAUGCUUCGCAUUUUGUGUUUCCUUUCGAGCCCUUAGCGAAAAUGCAAUGCGGUUAUUGUGCUGGUGUAGACCUUGGCGAGAAUAUGCAGACGAGGACGCCCCCUGACGGUGAAGCUGAGGCCUUGGAGCCUGAUAUGAACAAGAAAAGGAAGAGCAGGGCAGCCAUUGCCUAACCUAAUAAGACUGUUGCUCUUACCUCCGGGUCGAAUCCUGACAUCGAGGGGGGGAUGAUGAUGGAAGUCCAUUGAGGAGGAGAACAAGGUCCAGUGCGAGAUAUUUGUAGGCACCACGAUUGGAGGCUGCUGAAUACGGGACGGCUGGCUCCAGCCCGGCUGUUGAGCAGAGCAUCCUUGAAGAGGACGCUGAUGUAGCUUCGAAUUGUAUGGCCGGAUUUGGAUUAGCUUCUGCUAGGAGGACCGUUGGUGUUGAUCCAUAGGGACCAGGGUUCGGAGCCUUCUAGGAGUGUGUGUUGCUAUUUAGAGAAAUCGGCGAACCGAACGACCUCAUUUUGAGCUUUCCAGUUUCUUCAGGGGAGUUGAGGGAUGCCGAAAAGAUGGUCGGUGUAACAGCCGAGACUCCUCCCAAAGGGGGAGAUUUUAUUGCCAACAUUUUUUAUGGCGUAAUCGACAGGGCUGAUCUCGAUAUUUGUUGUGUCGUCAAAGCGGCGUAGAAGUCAAUGCAAUAGGUGAUAGUUUUCCCUUGCGUAUUUCUUUUCAUUCUCGGGCGUUAUUCGCCGUCUUUCUAAAAUUUCUCAUUGUGCCGCAGUGUAAGGAGAUGUAUGACCAUGCCAUUCUUCGGCUCCAAGGGGAACGUUUUUGCCACGAGAAGGAGCGUAAUAACAUUGCUUCGAAGCUGUAGGACUCGAAGGCUCGUUGUGCCCAAGGAGACAAAGAGUUGGGAGAACUUCGGACCACUUUGGAGGUGGUGCUCCAGGAGAAGGCCGCUCUUGCUGCUCAGGUACUCUGCCUCGUUCAUGCCCGCCCUUUUACCCCGUAUCCACACAUGUUCUGGAUUCAUGUAUUUGUCGACUUGCCCUUCUUCGUAGAUCGAGCAGAGUAACUUGCGGAUUGGUCAGUUAAAAGCGGAGGUCUCCAGGCUAAACGAGCAAAACGAGACCGUGGUCGGGGAAUUGGUGACAUCCCGGGAUCUUCUCACGGAUGCUCGCAAGGAGAUUGUUACUUUGGCCGCGGCUAAGUCUGAGGCUGAAUGAGAUACUGCCACUUAUAAGGAGAAUGCGACCAAGGCACAUACAAUGAUUCACGACAUGUCCAUGGCAGCUGAGCAUAGACUAAUUCGAGCUGUCGAGUAUGCCAAAGCGGUGGCGAAGAGGGAGACCCUAGAAGAACUCGAAGCCAGAGGCUUCGAGCUGUCUGCCGAUCUGGAGGAGGCUCGUGCGAUGGAAGGAAGAGGCUUCUACUUGCUUCUUUGUUUUUGUGUUCCAGCACCAGCCCUUCGGGGCCUUUUCGUUGGACAGACCGAGGGCCCCGAGACUAGCCAUGUCCCGAGGUAGAAUCGAUAGUUCCUCUCGAACCGAUAUUUAUGACAUCGGGGAUCUUCUGAGGUCCUUCGGUUUUAUGAAUUAUGCGGGAGCCUGGAAUGAUUCUUCCAGUGCACUCCCCAACGAGCAGUUGUCGCUUAGCCUUUAUAUAUUUUAUCAUUCGCUCUUCAAGCGGCGAUUUUGCAAUUUUUGAUAAGCCUAUCUCCUCUGCAGGCCUGGCGCUUUGUGUGAGUCCUUCCGUUCCCUUGCUUCAGAAAGUAUUUGCCUGGAUCCUCAUCUUCUCCCCCUUAUUCUGCUGUAAUCAUGGCCGCUGCUUCGACGGCUAAUCCUUGGACGGAGAGGAGUACCUACUGUGCUCCGCCCUUGGUUGGUACCAAUGGCUCGCCCUCGAUAUCGAGGGAGCGAGAUUUGGGUCGCCCUACCUUGAAGAAGGUUGUCACACCGGGGAGACCUCCCAAUGUUCCAGGCCAUCGAGAGCAUGUGUCGAGGAUUAUUUCAGCGGUGAGGGAGGAAAACCUCGAGAUGAUCAGGAAGAAUGCGUAUAGGGGGAAGGUGUGAUUUUGCAAGCACCUUCCCCCGAGGAGAGUAUCAUGACAUACGUUGAGGGGUUCUUGAGUGUGUAUAUUCAAAUUCUUGUGCCGGGUUCCCCAGACCGGGUCGUGCUUGAUUUUUGUAGGAGAUAUCAAGUAACGUCGGUGCAGGUUCAUCCCUUUCUUUAGAGAAUAGUGUAGUUGAUGAGAUAUUUUGCUGACAAGACCGAGAUAGAAUUCACCCUCAACCACCUCGUGAGGUUGUAUCGGACAUUGUGCUAUCGGGGCCUGAUUGCUCUUCAACGUAGAUCCACACGUGCUCCUAUGAUCGGCAGCGAGGAGGAUGAGGACCAUGGAUGGAUGAAUCGGUUCAUUCGAAUCUAGACGACCGAUGUUAUCCCCGCUGCCGUUCCCUGAGAGAUGGAACCUCACACAUAAGUGCUUCGUUUGAACUGUCUUUUAACUCAGCAUGGGGUUGGCCCUGUAACGGUAUCUUUCUGUACUUUGUUUAUAGCAACUCAUUGGUUGCCCGGCGAGAUCCCUGAUUUAACCGAAUGGUUUCGUAAUCUAGCAGCUUGCUCGGCCUAUGAUAGGCACCGGUGGCGAGAUAUAUUAAAAGGGAGAUGGGAGGCGAAGCAUUACGGUGCCAGGAGUCUUUUCGAAGCAAGGUCGAUUCCCCUAAGGGAGGAGGGGAUAUUGCCGAACCCGGGGUCAUGGAACACCGGCAAAAAGGAAAUAUGCCCCAGGGUGCAAGAAGGCCUGUGGUGAGGCGCCUUCUUCGCAAUGGUUAAGGGGAAGCGAUUUGGCUGACCAACAAUCUUCCGGGGUUGGUGCAUCAUCGGACGUUGCUUUGGCCUUUGGUGAGGCUCAGCGCUUUGGCCUUAUGGUGAGUUUCGGCCACUGUAAGGAUGUUCUGUCCCUGUGCUCCUCUUUUUUUUUUUGUUUACCUGGCUUUCUUUCUCAGGAUUUUGAUAGGCUCAAAGCCAAACUGCUUCAUUACGAGGCCCUGUCGCAGGAAGCUCGAGAUAGGGAGAAAUCCCUCAAGCUUCUUUGUGUGGCAAAGGAAAUCGAGCUCGUCUCUUUACGGCAUGAGGUGGACCAUAGUCGGGCCCAGGAGGCCCUCUUGGAGAAACAGGUAUCCUGCAUUUCGCACUGUCCUAUAUUCCCUUUUUGUCUCGCCAUCUUGACAUGUUGCUGUUUCAGUUGAUGGAUAAGGCGGAUGAGCUGGAUCAACUCUGGGGCAAGGUUGGCAAAGCCAAAUGUGAAUUCAACGAGCUACAAGCGCAUGUGAAUGCUCGUUCUGAGGCCAAAAAGAGGGCUCAGGCUAGGGCUUCCGCUCUCGAGGCACAAAUUUAGGUUGCCCGUGCGAAUGAUUCUGCAUGGGCGAAGAUGAUCGUGAGACUCUCAUCCGAGCUUUCAAGGGCAAAAACCGAGGUGGUGAAUGUCUGGGCCCAGGUUGUGAUGAACAAUACCAGGGAGGGACAGAAAAUGGCGGCUUAUUCGAGAAGCACUGCCACCGCUAAAGCUGAGUUGCAGAAGACCCUCGAUCGUGCCAACAAUAGCAAGGAGUACGUGAGGUGUAGAUCCCGGAGGGAAAUCCUUGAGGAGAUUCAUGCUAGGGGAUUUGAUCUCUUGGUGGUGAUUGAGCAAGCCAAAUUAGAGGAGUACUAUAGACAUGUGAUUUUUGACCUUCCCCAAGAUUUUUUAUAUUUUAGCGCGUAAAUAUUUAAUGGCAUAAUAUAGAU